GAUGAACGCUGGCGGCGUGCUUAACACAUGCAAGUCGAACGGUGAAGGCGGAGCUUGCUCUGCUGGAUCAGUGGCGAACGGGUGAGUAACACGUGAGCAAUCUGCCCCUGACUCUGGUAUAAGCGCUGGAAACGGCGUCUAUUACUGGAUACGAUCUGCGAAUGCAUCUUCAGCAGCUGGAAAGUACUUCGGUCAGGGAUGAGCUCGCGGCGUAUCAGCUUGUUGUUGAGGUAACUGCUCACCAAGGCUUCGACGGGUAGCCGGCCUGAGAGGGUGACCGGCGACACAGGGACUGAGGAACGGACCAGACUGCAAAGGGAGGCAGCAGUGGGGAAAAUUGAAAAAUGGGAGAAAGCCUGAUGCAGCAACGCCGCGUGAGGGAGGACGGACAUGGGGUUGUAAAAAACAUUUAGCAGGGAAGAAGCGAAAGUGACGGUACCUGCAGAAAAAGAGCCGGCUAACUACGUG
rnacentral:rRNA from 1 species